rnacentral:rRNA from 1 species
UACAGAGGGGGCAAGCGUUAUUCGGAAUUAUUGGGCGUAAAGGGCGCGUAGGCGGCUUUUCAAGUGACGGGUGAAAUCCCUCGGCUUAACCGGGGAACUGCGUCUGAUACUGGAUGGCUAGAGGUUGGGAGAGGGAUGCGGAAUUCCAGGUGUAGCGGUGAAAUGCGUAGAUAUCUGGAGGAACACCGGUGGCGAAGGCGGCAUCCUGGACCAAUUCUGACGCUGAGGAGCGAAAGCCAGGGGAGCGAACGGG